rnacentral:tRNA from 1 species
GGCUCUGUGGUGCAAUGGAUAGCGCAUUGGACUUCUAGGCUGUGAGCUGAGCCAUUUAAAGGUUGUGGGCUCGAGUCCCACCAGAGUUG